GACAGAGGGUGCAAACGUUGUUCGGAAUUACUGGGCGUAAAGCGCGUGUCGGCGGCCCUGCAAGUCGGAUGUGAAAUCCCAUGGCUCAACUAUGGAAGUGCAUUCGAAACUGCAGGGCUAGAGUCCUGGAGAGGAAGGUGGAAUGCUUGGUGUAGAGAUGAAAUUCGUAGAUAUCAAGCGGAACACCGGUGGCGAAGGCGGCCGUCUGGACAGUGACUGACGCUGAGACGCGAAAGCGUGGGGAGCAAACAGG
rnacentral:rRNA from 1 species